GACGAACGCUGGCGGCGUGCCUAAUACAUGCAAGUUGAGCGCUGAAGGUUGGUACUUGUACCAACUGGAUGAGCAGCGAACGGGUGAGUAACGCGUGGGGAAUCUGCCUUUGAGCGGGGGACAACAUUUGGAAACGAAUGCUAAUACCGCAUAAAAACUUUAAACACAAGUUUUAAGUUUGAAAGAUGCAAUUGCAUCACUCAAAGAUGAUCCCGCGUUGUAUUAGCUAGUUGGUGAGGUAAAGGCUCACCAAGGCGAUGAUACAUAGCCGACCUGAGAGGGUGAUCGGCCACAUUGGGACGGAGACACGGCCCAAACUCCUACGGGAGGCAGCAGUAGGGAAUCUUCGGCAAUGGGCGAAAGUCUGACCGAGCAACGCCGCGUGAGUGAAGAAGGUUUUCGGAUCGUAAAACUCUGUUGGUAGAGAAGAACGUUGGUGAGAGUGGAAAGCUCAUCAAGUGACGGUAACUACACAGAAAGGGACGGCUAACUACGCG
rnacentral:rRNA from 1 species